GUGGGGAAUCUUAGACAAUGGGGGCAACCCUGAUCUAGCCAUGCCGCGUGAGUGAUGAAGGCCUUAGGGUCGUAAAGCUCUUUCGCUGGGGAAGAUAAUGACGGUACCCAGUAAAGAAACCCCGGCUAACUCCGUGCCAGCAGCCGCGGUAAUACGGAGGGGGUUAGCGUUGUUCGGAAUUACUGGGCGUAAAGCGCGCGUAGGCGGAUUGGAAAGUUGGGGGUGAAAUCCCGGGGCUCAACCCUGGAAUGGCCUUCAAAACUCCCAGUCUUGAGGUCGAGAGAGGUGAGUGGAAUUCCGAGUGUAGAGGUGAAAUUCGUAGAUAUUCGGAGGAACACCAGUGGCGAAUGCGGCUCACUGGCUCGAUACUGACGCUGAGGUGCGAAAGCGUGGGGAGCAAACAGGAUUAGAAACCCUUGUAGUCC
rnacentral:rRNA from 1 species